CCUACGGGAGGCAGCAGUGAGGAAUAUUGGUCAAUGGACGUGAGUCUGAACCAGCCAAGUAGCGUGAGGGAUGACUGCCCUAUGGGUUGUAAACUUCUUUUAUAUGGGAAUAAAACGUUCCACGUGUGGGAUUUUGUAUGUACCAUAUGAAUAAGGAUCGGCUAACCACGUGCCCGCAGCCGCCGUAAUACGGAGGAUCGGAGCGUUAUCCGGAUUUAUUGGGUUUAAAGGGAGCGUAGGUGGAUUGUUAAGUCAGUUGUGAAAGUGUGCGGCUCAACCGUAACAUUGCAGUUGAAACUGGCAGUCGUGAGUACAGUAGAGGUGGGCGGAAUUCGUGGUGUAGCGGUGAAAUGCUUAGAUAUCACGAAGAACUCCGAUUGCGAAGGCAGCUCACUGGACUGCAACUGACACUGAGGCUCGAAAGUGUGGGUAUCAAACAGGAUUAGAUACCCGUGUAGUC
rnacentral:rRNA from 1 species